AUUGAACGCUGGCGGCAGGCCUAACACAUGCAAGUCGAGCGGAGCGGCGGACGGGUGAGUAAUGUCUGGGAAACUGCCUGAUGGAGGGGGAUAACUACUAGAAACGGUAGCUAAUACCGCAUAACAUCAGAUGUGCCUAGGUCGGAUGAGCUAGUUGGUGUGUGAAAGGCCUACCAAGGCGACGAUCCGUACCUGGUCUGAGAGGAUGAUUAGUCACACUGGAACGGAUACACGGUCCAGACUCCUACGGGAGGCAGCAGUGGGGAAUAUUUGACAAUGGGCGAAAGCCUGAUCCAGCCAUGCCGCGGGUGUGAAGAAGGUCUUCGGAUUGGAAAGCACUUUAAGUUGGGAGGCGUUACCAACAGAAUAAGCACCGGCUAACUUCGUGCCAGCAGCCGCGGUAAUUC
rnacentral:rRNA from 1 species